GAGUUUGAUCCUGGCUCAGGUUGAACGCUGGCGGCAUGCCUUACACGUGCAAGUCGAACGGCAGCACGGGUGCUUGCACCUGGUGGCGAGUGGCGAACGGGUGAGGUAAUAUAUCGGAACGUACCUUAUCGUGGGGGAUAACGCAGCGAAAGCUGCGCUAAUACCGCAUACGCCCUGAGGGGGAAAGCGGGGGACCGUAAGGCCUCGCGCGAUUAGAGCGGCCGAUAUCUGAUUAGCUUGUUGGUGGGGUAAAAGCCCACCAAGGCGACGAUCAGUAGCUGGUCUGAGAGGACGAUCAGCCACACUGGGACUGAGACACGGCCCAGACUCCUACGGGAGGCAGCAGUGGGGAAUUUUGGACAAUGGGGGCAACCCUGAUCCAGCAAUGCCGCGUGAGUGAAGAAGGCCUCGGUUGUAA
rnacentral:rRNA from 1 species